rnacentral:rRNA from 1 species
CCUACGGGGGGCAGCAGUGGGGGAUAUUGCACAAUGGGGGGAACCCUGAUGCAGCGACGCCGCGUGGGUGAAGAAGCGCCUCGGCGCGUAAAGCCCUGUCAGCAGGGAAGAAAAUGACGGUACCUGAAGAAGAAGCCCCGGCUAACUACGUGCCAGCAGCCGCGGUGAUACGUAGGGGGCAAGCGUUAUCCGGAUUUACUGGGUGUAAAGGGGGGGCAGACGGCGAUGCAAGCCAGGAGGGAAAGCCCGGGGGCCAACCCCGGGACUGCUCUUGGAACUGCGUGGCUGGAGUGCAGGAGGGGCAGGCGGAAUUCCUGGUGUAGCGGUGAAAUGCGUAGAUAUCAGGAGGAACACCGGUGGCGAAGGCGGCCUGCUGGACUGCAACUGACGUUGAGGCCCGAAAGCGUGGGGAGCAAACAGGAUUAGAUACCCGAGUAGUC